GGUCUGUAUCUCUCAGCUGCCACCGCUGCCUCCCACUUGCGCUUGCUGAUCUGAGCCGCCAUGUUGGCCGCGGUCCAGGAGUGCUGGUCCUCAUUCAGGACGAUGU